ACUCCUACGGGAGGCAGCAGUGGGGAAUAUUGCACAAUGGGCGCAAGCCUGAUGCAGCCAUGCCGCGUGUGUGAAGAAGGCCUUCGGGUUGUAAAGCACUUUCAGUCGUGAGGAAGGUAGUAGUAGUUAUAGCUUGCUAUAUUUGACGUUAGCGAACAAGAAGAAGCGACCGGCUAACUCCGUGCCAGCAGCCGCGGUAAUACGGAGGGUGCGAGCGUUAAUCGGAAUUACUGGGCGUAAAGCGCAUGCAGGUGGCUUGUUAAGUCAGAUGUGAAAGCCCGGGGCUCAACCUCGGAAUUGCAUUUGAAACUGGCAAGACUAGAGUACUGUAGAGGGGGGUAGAAUUUCAGGUGUAGCGGUGAAAUGCGUAGAGAUCUGAAGGAAUACCGGUGGCGAAGGCGGCCCCCUGGACAGAUACUGACACUCAGAUGCGAAAGCGUGGGGAGCAAACAGGAUUAGAUACCCUGGUAGCUACGAGU
rnacentral:rRNA from 1 species